AGACAUCGUGCUGAUAAUCUGCU
rnacentral:snRNA from 1 species